rnacentral:rRNA from 1 species
CCAGACUCCUACGGGAGGCAGCAGUCGGGAAUAUUGCACAAUGGAGGAAACUCUGAUGCAGUGACACCGCGUAUAGGAAGAAGGUUUUCGGAUUGUAAACUAUUUUAGACAGGGAAGAAAAAAGACAGUACCUGUAGAAUAAGCUCCGGCUAACUACGUGCCAGCAGCCGCGGUAAUACGUAGGGGGCAAGCGUUAUCCGGAUUUACUGGGUGUAAAGGGAGCGUAGACGGCAGUGCAAGUCCGGAGUGAAAGCCCGGGGCUCAACCCUGGGACUGCUCUGGAAACUGUAAAGCUGGAGUGCGGGAGGGGCAGGCGGAAUUCCUGGUGUAGCGGUGAAAUGCGUAGAUAUCAGGAGGAACACCGGCGGCGAAGGCGGCCUGCUGGACCGUAACUGACGUUGAGGCUCGAAAGCGUGGGGAGCAAACAGGAUUAGAUACCCCGGUAC